GACGAACGCUGGCGGCGUGCUUAACACAUGCAAGUCGAACGGAAAGGCCCUGCUUGUAGGGUACUCGAGUGGCGAACGGGUGAGUAACACGCGGGUGAUCUGCCCUGCUCUCCGGGAUAAGCCUGGGAAACAGGGUGUAAUACAGGAUAGGAGACAUCUUGAGUGUGAUGGUUGGAAAGUUAUUUCGGUGUAGGAUGGGCUCGCGGGCUAUCUGCUUGCUGGUGGGGUAAUGGCCUACCAAGGCGGCGACGGGUAGCCGGCCUGGGAGGGUGGACGGCCACAAUGGGACUGAGAUACGGCCCAGACUCCUACGGGAGGCAACAGGCGGGAAUCUUGCACAAUGGGCGCGAGCCUGAUGCAGCGACGCCGCGUGGGGGAUAACGGCCUUCGGGUUGUGAACUCCUUUCGCUAGGGACGAAGCUUUUGUGACGGUACCUAGAUAAAAAGCCCCGGCUAACUACGUG
rnacentral:rRNA from 1 species